rnacentral:SRP_RNA from 19 species
UGCCAGACUUGGCCGGGGGGUUAGGCGUCCCCUGUACCCGAAGUCUAGAUGCGGGGGCGACAGCCCGGUGAGACCACCUGGGUUUCUGUCAGGCCCCGUGGAAUCAUUGAUCCUCUGUCCCUCUGGAUCGGAGGCCUGCAUGUACAUCCUCAAAGGAGGGUGUAUGUGCAGCCUACCAGGGGAACGCGCCAGGCCCGGAAGGGAGCAACGACACCCUGGACUCUCGAUGCUGGAGGGGUGCGGGGGUGAGAGGAAGCGGGGGGUACCUGGCAGGACGCCCAGACCGAACCGGGUGUG